rnacentral:rRNA from 1 species
GACGAACGCUGGCGGCGUGCUUAACACAUGCAAGUCGAACGGAAAGGCCCUGCUUUUGUGGGGUGCUCGAGUGGCGAACGGGUGAGUAACACGUGAGUAACCUGCCCUUUACUUUGGGAUAACGUCAGGAAACUGGGGCUAAUACCGGAUAGGAGCUCCUGCUGCAUGGUGGGGGUUGGAAAGUGUCGGCGGUGGGGGAUGGACUCGCGGGCUGUCAGCUUGUUGGUGGGGUAAUGGCUCACCAAGGCUUUGAUGGGUAGCCGGCCUGAGCGGGUGACCGGCCACAAUGGGAAUGAGAUACGGCCGAGACGCCGACGGGAGGCAGCAGUGGGGGAGAGUGCACAAGGGGCGCAAGCCGGAUGCAGCAACGCCGCGUGCGGGAGGACGGCCUUCGGGUUGUAAACCGCUUUCAGUAGGGACGAAGGGGGACUGACGGUACCUACAGAAGAAGGAACGGCUAACUACGUG